CAUUUAUGGAAAUCAUCUCCCAACGAAUUCGCAGUUUCAUUGUUCAGAACACUACCGAUAAGUAACACAACUAUGAAUCAAUCACAUCAUUGAGUACCAAAAGUUACAAAUAGCGUUCAGGAACUGACGCAUGUGUCCACAUCUAUUUUGCUACUCUUGGGUCUUGGCCAAAAAUUACCAAGCAUCAGCUCCCUUAGUUGCACCAAGAAUAAUUGCAACAGUGGCCACAACAGCAGCAAUUGUGCAAGCAAUGUAUCCUGGUUUCUCUCGUGGAUCAAUCCUUGCACAUAGUAGAACGAAUAGCCCAAUAAACCAGGGGAUAGCACCGAGAAAGAAACCGAUUAUAAACAAGAACCA
rnacentral:misc_RNA from 1 species